UACGAAGGGGGCUAGCGUUGCUCGGAAUCACUGGGCGUAAAGCGCACGUAGGCGGCUUUUUAAGUCAGGGGUGAAAUCCUGGAGCUCAACUCCAGAACUGCCUUUGAUACUGGGAAGCUUGAGUCCGGGAGAGGUGAGUGGAACUCCGAGUGCAGAGGUGAAAUUCGUAGAUAUUCGGAAGAACACCAGUGGCGAAGGCGGCUCACUGGCCCGGUACUGACGCUGAGGUGCGAAAGCGUGGGGAGCAAACAGG
rnacentral:rRNA from 1 species